rnacentral:rRNA from 1 species
GAUGAACGCUAGCGGCAGGCUUAAUACAUGCAAGUCAAGGGGGUAGCAAUACAACCGGCGCACGGGUGAGUAACACGUACACAACAUACCAUAUACUGAGGUAUAGCUUCGGGAAACUGAAGGUAAUCCCUCAUAGUAUUGUGAAAGGGCAUCUUUUUACAAUUAAAGUUUCGACGGUAUAUGAUUGGUGUGCGUUUGAUUAGUUAGUUGGUAGGGUAACCGGCCUACCAAGGCAACGAUCGAUAGCUGGCGUGAGAGCGCGACCAGCCACACUGGAACUGAGACACGGUCCAGACUCCUACGGGAGGCAGCAGUAGGGAAUAUUGGACAAUGGGCGAAAGCCUGAUCCAGCCAUGCCGCGUGAUAGAUGAAGGCCCUCUGGGUUGUAAAUAUCUUUUUAUCUGGGAAGAAACACUUCUAUUCUUAGAAGCUUGACGGUACCAGAGGAAUAAGCACCGGCUAACUCCGUGCCAGCAGCCG